UACGGAGGGUGCGAGCGUUGUCCGGAAUCACUGGGCGUAAAGGGCGCGUAGGUGGCAAGGACAGUCAACGGUGAAAGCUUGGGGCUCAACCCCGAGUCGGCCGUCGAUACUUCUUUGCUGGAGCACUGUAGAGGCAGAUGGAAUUCCGGGUGUAGCGGUGGAAUGCGUAGAGAUCCGGAAGAAUAUCCGUGGCGAAGGCGGCUCUCUGGUACGGCACUGACGCUGAGACGCGAAAGCGUGGGGAGCGAACAGG
rnacentral:rRNA from 1 species